GGCAGGCGAGCGGGAGAGCCCGAUGCCCACGAUGUGAGCAAAGGCGCCGAAGGAGCAACCGCCCCGGAAACUCUCAGGCCACCGGACCGCUCGGCUGCG
rnacentral:ncRNA from 2 species